AUACGAAGGGAGCGAGCGUUAUUCGGAAUUACUGGGCGUAAAGGGCGUGUAGGCGGUUUAUUAAGUUAGUUGUUAAAGACCCCGGCUUAACCGGGGGGCAGCAAUUAAUACUGGUAGACUAGAGGAUAAGAGAGAGAAGUGGAAUUCUCGGAGUAGCGGUAAAAUGCGUAGAUCUCGAGAGGAACACCGAUGGCGAAGGCAGCUUCUUGGCUUAUUCCUGACGCUGAAGCGCGAAAGCGUGGGGAGCAAACAGGAUUAGAAACCCUAGUAGUCC
rnacentral:rRNA from 1 species